GAGCUGGUGUCCAACUCUGCCGCUCUCAUCCAGCAAGCCACCACGGUCAAAAACAAAGACAUAAGGAAGUUCUUGGACGGUAUCUAUGUGUCUGAGAAGGGCACAGUCGUCCAGAAGGAGGAUUAGAGCGGCUCUGAUCCAACAAGCCACCACGGUCAAGAAGAAAGACAUCAGGAAGUUCCUGGAUGGGAUCUACGUCAGUGAGAAGACGACUGUUGUGGAACAGACGGGCGAAUAACGAUACAUCUCUGGAACUCACUAUUGACCAAUAAAAUCAUUUUUUUUCCCUCCUCCAA